CGCCAAACUGCUCCCAGGAAUGCUUGUGAUGGAGAACAAAUUGCUAACAGAAGUUGCUGUGUUCUUGGUCAUCACUGCAGUAGCUGAAAACUUGCUUUCAUGGGCCAGACAAGGCAAAAGCCAGAGCUGGGAGAUGUGCACUGACUGCCUGGUAUGGACACACUUGCAAGGACAAACUCGGUGCCUUCAAAGAAACUACCUGACGCUGGAUCAGCGUUCUCUGUCUGUCCAGUUUUGAAUUCCUAUUUUCAUGCUGAAGCUGCAACACCAGCUCCCUCCAAGUUCAAGAGGUUUAAUGAAUCCUGCUCUGGGAGCCCAUCGGCGUGAGGGCGGCGUGCCCCGUGGAGGUGCUGAGCUGGUGAUGCCGAGAGCUGCUGGAAAUCUGCAAUCUCAGGGAGCCCCACACCGAUGGCAGGGAUGAAAAACUUCAUGGGAAUAAGGAACGCCACGGGAUAACAAGGUGGGAUGCUGGAGGUGCCAAGGGUGACACUAACAGGGACAAAACUUCUCAUUCACUCCUCCCUGCCCAGUCCCCUCCACCCGUGCCACACACAC
rnacentral:lncRNA from 1 species